rnacentral:lncRNA from 1 species
UUCCCUACUCGAGGACGAGCAGGAGUUAAGCUUGGGGAUGCUUGAUACGUCUCCAACGUAUCUAUAAUUUUUGAUGGUUCCAUGCUAUUAUCUUGUCAACUUUGGAUGUUUUAUAUGCAUGAAUAUGCUAUUUUAUAUCUUUUUUGGGACUAACCUAUUAACUCAGUGCCAAAUGCCAGUUUCUGUUUUUUCCGUGUUUUUGGCCCAUUUUCAGACGGAGUCCAAAUGGAAUGAAACUUUACGAUGAUUUGUUUGGACCAAAAGAUACCCCCGAAGCUUUGGGAGAAGGCCAGAUGGGCCACGAGGGAGUCACAAGCCCUCACGUCGCCACCCCCCCCGGUGGUGGCGCACACGCUUGUGACCUCCUCGUGGGCCCAACUGACGCAAUUCCACCGCCAUAAAUUCCUAUAAAUUCAGAAACCUCCAAAAAGAAACAUAGAUCGGGAGUUCCGGCGUCGCAAGCCUCUGUAGCCACCAAAAACCAAUAUGGAGCCCGUUCUGGCACCCUGCCGGAGGGGUAAUCCAUCUCCGGUGGCCAUCUUCAUCAUCCCGGCGAUCUCCAUGACGAGGAGGGAGUAGUUCUCCCUCGGGGCUGAGGGUAUGUCCCAGUAGCUAUGUGUUUGAUCUCUCUCUCUCUCGUGUUCUUGAGAUGUCUUGAUCUCGAUGUACCAUGGGCUUUGCUACUAUAGUUGGAUCUUAUGAUGUUCUUCCCCCUCUCCCUCUUGUAAUGAAUUGAGUUUCCCCUUUGGAGUUAUCUUAUCGGAUUGAGUCUUUGAGAACACUUGAUGUAUGUCUUGCACGUGUCUAUCUGCUGUGAUCAACUUGCGGGUUUGUGACAAUUGGGAACCUAUGCAUAUGGGUUGGCACACGUGGAUUCCUGUGAGUACUUGAUGUAUGUUUUGGUGAUCAACUUGCAGUUUCAUGACAUUGGGAACCUAUGCACACGGGUUGGCACACGUUUUGACUCUCUGGUAGAAACUUNNNNNNNNNNNNNNNNNNNNNNNNNUGGCACACGUGGAUUCAUGUGAGUACUUGAUGUAUGUUUUGGUGAUCAACUUGCGGGUUCGUGACAUUGGGAACCUAUGCACAGGGGUUGGCACCCGUUUUGAAUCUCUGGUAGAAACUUUGGGGCACUCUUUGAAGUUCUAUGUGUUGGUUGAAUAGAUGAUUCUAAGAUUGUGUGAUGCAUAUCGUAUAAUCAUGCCCACAGAUACUUGAGGUGACAAUGGAGUAUCUAGGUGACAUUAGGGUCUUGGUUGAUAUGUAUCUUAAGGUGUUAUUCUAGUACGAACUCUAUGAUGGAUCGAUCAGAAAGAAUAACUUUGUGGUGGUUUUGUACCCGACAAUAAUCUCUUCGUUUGUUCCCCGCUAUUAGUGACUUUGGAGUGACUCUUUGUUGCAUGUUGAGGGCUAGUUAUAUGAUCCAAUUAUGUUAUCAUUGUUGAGAGAACUUCACUAGUGAAAGUAUGAACCCUAGGCCUUGUUUCAACGCAUUGCAAUACCGUUCGUGCUCACUUUUACCACUUGUUACCUUGCUGUUUUUGUAAUUUCAGAUUACAAAAACCUAUAUCAACCAUCC